rnacentral:rRNA from 1 species
AGCCAACAAGGCCUUUACUGACGCUAAAGCUCGAGGGUGCGGGUAUCGAACAGGAUUAGAUACCCUGGUAGUCCGCACGGUAAACGAUGGAUGCCCGCUGUAUGCGAUAUACUGUGAGCGGCCAAGAGAAAUCGUUAAGCAUCCCACCUGGGGAGUACGCCGGCAACGGUGAAACUCAAAGGAAUUGACGGGGGCCCGCACAAGCGGAGGAACAUGUGGUUUAAUUCGAUGAUACGCGAGGAACCUUACCCGGGCUUGAACUGCAGCAGACGGAUCUAGAGAUAGUGACUCCCUUCGGGGCUGCUGUGGAGGUGCUGCAUGGUUGUCGUCAGCUCGUGCCGUGAGGUGUCGGCUUAAGUGCCAUAACGAGCGCAACCCUUUUCAUUAGUUGCCAUCAGGUAAUGCUGGGCACUCUGGUGAUACUGCCACCGUAAGGUGUGAGGAAGGUGGGGAUGACGUCAAAUCAGCACGGCCCUUACGUCCGGGGCUACACACGUGUUACAAUGGGAGGUACAGAGAGUCGGAUGUACGCAAGUACAUUCUAAUCCUAAAAGCCUUCCUCAGUUCGGAUUGGGGUCUGCAACCCGACCCCAUGAAGCUG